UGAACUCGCUGUGAAGAUGCAGUGUACCCGCGGCAAGACGGAAAGACCCCGUGAACCUUUACUAUAGCUUGACACUGAACAUUGAGCCUUGAUGUGUAGGAUAGGUGGGAGGCUUUGAAGUGUGGACGCCAGUCUGCAUGGAGCCGACCUUGAAAUACCACCCUUUAAUGUUUGAUGUUCUAACGUUGACCCCUAAUCGGGGUUGCGGACAGUGUCUGGUGGGUAGUUUGACUGGGGCGGUCUCCUCCUAAAGAGUAACGGAGGAGCACGAAGGUUGGCUAAUCCUGGUCGGACAUCAGGAGGUUAGUGCAAUGGCAUAAGCCAGCUUGACUGCGAGCGUGACGGCGCGAGCAGGUGCGAAAGCAGGUCAUAGUGAUCCGGUGGUUCUGAAUGGAAGGGCCAUCGCUCAACGGAUAAAAGGUACUCCGGGGAUAACAGGCUGAUACCGCCCAAGAGUUCAUAUCGACGGCGGUG
rnacentral:rRNA from 1 species